GCCCGGCUAGCUCAAUCGGUAGAGCGUGAGACUCUUACUCAAGGCAUCUCAAGGUUGUGGGUUCGACCCCCACGUUGGGCU
rnacentral:tRNA from 1 species